GACGAAACGCUGGCGGCGUGGAUUAGGCAUGCAAGUCGAACGGUAUCAUCCUUUCGGGGGUGAGAGAGUGGCGAACUGGUGAGUAACACGUAGGUUAUCUACCCUCAAGACGGGGACAACCCAGGGAAACUUGGGCUAAUACCGGAUGUGAGCAACUUUUAGUUGUUUGAAAGGUGGCGUAAGCUGUCGCUUGGGGAUGAGCCUGCGUCCUAUUAGUUAGUUGGUGAGGUAACGGCUCACCUAGGCAAUGAUAGGUAGGCGGCCUUAACGGGUGGUCGCCCACACUGGGAUUGAGAUACGGCCCAGACUCCUACGGGAGGCAGCAGUCGAGAAUAGUCUACAAUGGACGAAAGUCUGAUAGUGCGACGCCGCGUGAACGAAGAAUCCUUUCGGGGUGUAAAGUUCUUUUCUAUGUGAGCAGUUCCUUUUAUAUGAAGAGUAUAGAAGGGGGAUUUAAGCAUAGGAAUAAGCAACGGCUAACUCCGUG
rnacentral:rRNA from 1 species